UCUUUUCCUUUUUUUCCAGCAGCCGCGGUAAUACGGAGGAUCCGAGCGUUAUCCGGAUUUAUUGGGUUUAAAGGGAGCGUAGGCGGAUUGUUAAGUCAGUUGUGAAAGUUUGCGGCUCAACCGUAAAAUUGCAGUUGAUACUGGCAGUCUUGAGUGCAGUAGAGGUGGGCGGAAUUCGUGGUGUAGCGGUGAAAUGCUUAGAUAUCACGAAGAACUCCGAUUGCGAAGGCAGCUCACUGGAGUGUAACUGACGCUGAUGCUCGAAAGUGUGGGUAUCAAACAGG
rnacentral:rRNA from 1 species